rnacentral:rRNA from 1 species
GCAAGUCGAACGGUAACAUGAGAGCUUGCUCUUGAUGACGAGUGGCGGACGGGUGCGUAACACGUAUGCAACAUACCCUUUACAGGGGAAUAGCCCAGAGAAAUCUGGAUUAAUACCCCAUAAUAUCACGGAUUCGCAUGUUUCUGUGAUUAAAACUUCGGUGGUAAAGGAUUGGCAUGCGGCCCAUUAGUUUGUUGGUGAGGUAAUGGCUCACCAAGACUACGAUGGGUAGGGGGUCUGAGAGGAUGAUC